GGGAAAUUAGACAUUUCACUUAAUUAUAAAACUAGUAUUUAAUUUCAGGAAUUCAGAAUUUAUAGUAUAUAAUAUAUUUAUGUAUAUAUAUUAUACUGUAGAUAUAUUCACAACGUUAAUUUUUGAUUAAUAACUUACAGAAAGCUCUGCACUUGAGAUUUAUAAACUUGCUGAAAAAAAUUCAGUAAGAAAACUCUAUUUUAGUAUAUGCUUAAUGAAAAUAUCUCGGUGGAAACCCUGAACUCUAAAACUACCCUGUGGUAUUCAGAAUGAGUCAAGCAAAGCCCAUAAUAAAUGACUUUAUAGGUAGCUUUUGGAUACAGCUCUAGGUUUAAAAUUUGAGAAUAAGGUUGGCAGAUUCUAUUCUUUACAAAGGAAGGGCUGUCACAGCAGUGUGUGCCUGGAACCCAUUUUAAAUAAAGGAAAAAUUGAAGAGCUGGCAUUUUAACCAUCAUAUGUCUAAUACAUAAUGAUGCUUCAUAAGUUAUUGAGACCUCCCUCAAUCUCUGGGAUAGUUGGAGCAAUGGCUGAAUAUAAACUAUCAGAAAAAUUGAAUCUGUAAUUCUGUCAAUAAGUGAGAAAAUAUUCUAAGAUUCUUUAAAUUUUAAUUCUGGGUUUUUGAACACAUUGAUGUGUAAAAUAUAACAAAAUAAGGUGGACACUGUUUAACUGCAGUUGGUAUCAAUUCUUGUGUACUGAAUUUAAGGAGAGAGAUGUUAUCACCGUAGGAAAUUAUACCAACUAAUGACUGCAUACCAUUAAUAUAUUUUCUGAAGUUUGAAUUUUCAGUUAAUGCACUUUCAGUGAUAUUAAAGAGCACUUUAUUAACAGCUAUUUGAAGGGUAAUUUAUAUACAGAGAACUGCACAUAUUUAACUUGUAUACUUUAAUGAGUUUAAACAUAUGCAAACACCCCCGAUACUGUCACCACACUCACUUGGAUAUGAUUCACAUAAACAUAUCCAAGACGCCCCGAAAUUUAUUUUAAACCCCUUAUGUGUGUAUGUGUGUGGUGAGAAGACUGAAUUUGAGACCCAGCCUCAACAAAUUUUGACAUGCACAAUAUAGUAUAAACUAUUGGCACUAUAUUGAACAGCCCCUCUCUAAAAUGUAUUUAUCUUGCACAACAAAGUUCAUAUUCCUUGAAAAACUUCCCAUUACCCCACAACAGAGCCUUUGGAAACCACUGUGGUCUUCUCUGCCUCUGUGAGUUUGACUAUUACAGAUACCUCGUAUAAGUGGAAUUCUGUAGUAUUUGUCCUCUUGUGACUGGCUUAUUUCACUUAGCAUAAGAUCCCUUAGGUUCAUCAAUAUUGUCACCAAUGGCAGGAUUUUCUUCUUAAGACUGAAAAAUAUUCUAUUGUGUGUAUAUACCUCAAUUUCUUUAUCCAUUCAUCUGCCAAUGGGCAUAGACAUGGGUCAUUUCCAUAUAUUGGCUAUUGUGAAAAAUGAUGCUAUAAAUGUGAGAGUGCUGAUAUCUCUACAAGAUCCUGAUUUUAAUUGUUUUGGAUAUGUAUCUAGAAAUAAGAGUGCUGGAUCGCGUGGUAAUUCUAUUAUUUUUAGCUUUUGGAGGAACCGCCAUACUGUUUUCUUAGUUGCUGUAUCAUUGUACAUUCUCAAUGUACAGUGUACAGGGAUUCCAAGUUCCCUACAUCCUCACCAUUUAUCUUUUGGUUUUUUGAAAAUCAACAUCCUAACAAGAGUGAGGUAAUAUCAUUUUGAUAUUACUAUUUGCAAUGACUUUUUGAAUAUGACAUCAAAAGCACAGGAAACAGAAACAAAAAAUAGGCAAGUUGGACUAUAUCAAACUAAAAACAAACAAGAAAAACAAAAACCAAGCAAACUUCUACACAGCUAAGGAUACAAUCAACAGAACGAAAAGGCAAUCUAUAAAAUGAGAGAAAAUAUUUGCAAUCCAUAUAUCUGAUAAUGGAUUAAUUUUCAAAAUAUAUAAGAAAUUCCUACAAUUUAAUAGCAAAACAUGCAUAAUCUGAUUAAAAAAUGGGCAAAGGAUUUGAACAGACAUUUCUUCAAAGAAGAUAUACAAAUGGCCAACAGAUACAUUAAAAAAUAUGCUCAACAUCUUUAAUUAUCAGGGACAUGCAGAUUAGUAGAACUUUCAAGUAAAUAAAUAAAUAACUCUACUUCACAGACUAACCUAUAAAAUGCUGAAUUUUGUUAUGUAAAAUGUUACAGAAAUAAUUUCCUCACAAUUGUGUUAAUUCGUUUGUGCUACUAUUACAAAAUAUUUACUACCUGGUCAUUUAUAAAGAACAGAAAUUGAUUUUUCACAGUUCUGCAGGCUGGAAAUCCAAGAUGAAGUCACCUGUAGUUCAGUGUCUGCGUCUAAGAGAGUACUUUGUUGCUGCACCCGCCAGAGGGAAGAAAUACUGUAUCUUCUCAUGAAGGAAGGAACCGAAGGUUUACAAGUAUUGUGGCUGAAGGCUGUGUCUAUUCCUGCUUCCUCCACCUCACCUUGCAAAAGUGUUUAUCCAAAUAAAUCCCUCACACAUCUAAUCCCAUUUUGGCAAAUUCAGUUUCAGAACUUUGCCUUCACUACUAGUCUCAAGGAAAAUAUAUUAAUACACACACACACACACACACACACACACGCAUGCACACACACACAUAUGUAUAUAUUUCCCAAUCUAUUAUAGGUAAAAUAUACUCUUAUCACGAAUAAAUCCAAAUUGUGAAUGCUUAAAAUAUACUUUACAGAAUAUUAAAAUUUAAAAGCAUCACAGGAAAAAUAUUAAUACUGUUUACAGAAUUUCAAUAUGUGAAUAAUAUUUACAUUACAGUUUCAUAUGAACCUUUUACUUCUCUAUUUAGUAUGCCAUUAUGUCACUGCAGAGGUAUGAAAAGGAGAGCUCUCCUAGUUGUGAAAAAAGAAACAUGUUUUAUUGGGAGCUAAGUGGAAGGUUGAACAUGUGGGAAUAUCUGGGCAUGCACUGAAGACACCUUUUGCAUCUCCCCCAUCCACAUAGCAAAGUGAAUGUGGUUUGUGUCCAUUUAUGCAGGAUACUCUGGAAAACCAAACUGAAACAAGGUUAACAUACAUUUUUAAAAGAAAACUAAAGGAAAACAACACAUACUUUAUUACCUAUCAAAGUAACCACUUCAUUAUAUUUUAGUGGAAGCUAUUAUUUAUUAUCGAAUUAUUUGCUUUGGCAGGAGGAUACAGGGUUUUCCCAUUUGGGUUGUAUAUGUUCCUCAUGAGAAAAGCUGAAGACAAAAUCUUACCCUUCUGCCCAAAGUCAAUUGAAUCAACAUGUUUACCUUGCUCCACGGAGCUGCUAACCUACUGGCUGGGUGUUGUGUGGCUUGGCAAUGGAGUUCUGCAUGACGGGAACAAUGGUUUUUAAGUGGACUAAUCAGAGCUGUUAAUGCAUAUGCAGUGAAGGCAGGAACUUUGCUACAUGCAGGGCUUAUCAUUUUGCUAAUAACAAUGCCUGGCACAGAUUAGCAAUUUGUUGAAAUAAAACAUUCUGGGAGAUGUAAGAUAGAGAAAGAGAGCAGCAUGUAGUAGAAAUAGAUGUCGAAAGAUGAAUUAAGAUGAUGCAUUAAGCUUGAAACGUGAGGCAGAGAAAGCUGUACAUAAGUUGAAGGCUUUGAGUUAAAAGACUAUAGGAAUUAGAUGAGUGGGGGCUAUGGAGAACGGAGAGAAUUUAGAGUGUGGACAAGCGUUCUAUGAGCAGAGACUGGGACUAGCCAAAACGUGAUGAUGGGCAGCUAGCUUGGAAAGAAUGCUUACAACGUGAAAAUUAUAUAUUUACAAAAGGCCAUUACUUCUGUUAAAGAACAAUAGACCCCAGUGAAAAGAAAGGAAAUUGAAAAAUAGAGAAAAUGUGGAGAAAACUAGAAUCUCUAUAGACAGCAUCAAUGCAGCAUCAAUUAUGUGAACCACUUUUGAGCACAAAGAAAUAUUGUUUUGACCUUGGAGGCAAUUUGGUCUUCAUUAGGUUUAGCUGUAGGAUAGUUGAUGUUCAUUAUUCCCUAUAAUGCUUGUGAUGGCAAAACCUUCACAAAUUUAUAUGAUCUAGGUAUGUUUUCAAUCCUUACAACCCA
rnacentral:lncRNA from 10 species